AGAGUUUGAUCCUGGCUCAGGACGAACGUUGGCGGCGUGCUUAACACAUGCAAGUCGAGCGGGGCUUAGUGAAAAGUUUACUUUUUACUGAGUCUAGCGGCGGACGGGUGAGUAACGCGUGGAUAAUCUGCCUGUAAGACAGGGAUAACGCCGGGAAACCGGUGCUAAUACCCGAUAACCUCUUUUGACCGCAUGAUUUGAAGAGAAAAGGUGGCCUCUUUACCUACCACUUACAGAUGAAUCCGCGUCCCAUUAGCCAGUUGGUGGGUAAAGGCCUACCAAAGCGACGAUGGGUAGCCGGCCUGAGAGGGUGACCGGCCACACUGGAACUGAGAUACGGUCCAGACUCCUACGGGAGGCAGCAGUGGGGAAUCUUCCGCAAUGGGCGAAAGCCUGACGGAGCAACGCCGCGUGAGUGAUGAAGGCCUUCGGGUCGUAAAGCUCUGUCAGUGGGGAAGAGAAGUGACGGUACAAUAAGAGGAAGCCACGGCUAACUACGUGCCAGCAGCCGCGGUAAUACGUAGGUGGCAAACGUUGUCCGGAAUUACUGGGCGUAAAGGGCGAGUAGGUGGUUUGUUAAGUCAGAAGUGAAAUUCUUCGGCUCAACCGUAGUAAGCCUUAGGAACUGUGUUUCUUGAGUGUCGGAGAGGAAAGUGGAAUUCCCAGUGUAGCGGUGAAAUGCGUAGAUAUUAGGAGGAACACCAGUGGCGAAGGCGACUUCCUGGCUUGUAACUGACACUGAGGCGCGAAAGCGUGGGGAUCAAACAGGAUUAGAUACCCUGGUAGUCCACGCCGUAAACGAUGAGUGCUAGGUGUCGGGUAGCGAUAAAUUCAGUGCUGCAGUUAACGCAAUAAGUAUUCCGCCUGGGGAGUAUGCACGCAAGUGUGAAACUCAAAGGAAUUGACGGGGGCCCGCACAAGCGGUGGAGUAUGUGGUUUAAUUCGAAGCAACGCGAAGAACCUUACCAGGGCUUGACAUGCAGGUGAAUAAGCAAGAGAUUAGCGCAGGUCUUUCGGGCGAAUGGAGACAGGUGCUGCAUGGUUGUCGUCAGCUCGUGCCGUGAGGUGUCGGGUUAAGUCCCAUAACGAGCGCAACCCUUAUCGUUAGUUGCCAGCGGGUCAAGCCGGGGACUCUAGCGAGACUGCCGGUGACAAACCGGAGGAAGGUGGGGAUGACGUCAAAUCAUCAUGCCCCUUAUGUCUUGGGCUACACACGUGCUACAAUGGCCGGUACAAAGGGCUGCAAACCCGCAAGGGGGAGCGAAUCCCAUAAAGCCGGUCUCAGUUCGGAUCGUGGGCUGCAACCCGCCCACGUGAAGCCGGAGUUGCUAGUAAUCGCGAAUCAGCAUGUCGCGGUGAAUGCGUUCCCGGGUCUUGUACACACCGCCCGCCACACCAUGGGAGUUGGGAGCGCCCGAAGCCAGUGAGCUAACCGCAAGGAGGCAGCUGUCGAAGGCGAGAUCAAUGACUGGGGUGAAGUCGUAACAAGGUAACC
rnacentral:rRNA from 1 species